rnacentral:rRNA from 1 species
UACGGGGGGAGCAAGCGUUGUUCGGAUUUACUGGGCGUAAAGGGCGCGUAGGCGGCGCAACAAGUCACUUGUGAAAUCUCCGGGCUUAACCCGGAGCGGUCAAGUGAUACUGUCGUGCUAGAGUGUGGAAGAGGCUACUGGAAUUCUCGGUGUAGAGGUGAAAAUUCGUAGAUAUUCGCAAGAACACCAGUGGCGAAGGCGGCUCACUGGCCCGAUACUGACGCUGAGGCACGAAAAGCGUGGGGGAGCAAACAGG